rnacentral:lncRNA from 1 species
AGUAUGUACCUGUAAAAUCAACAUGGAUUAAGGACAAAAAUGGACACAAUGUAACCAAAGUGAUCUCCUACGUAGUUGAUCUGAUAAAUAAUGCAGGCAACAGUAAUUAAAACAGCUGACCAAUUUGAUGGUUUCAAGAUAAAAGAGUUGCUUUAUGGACUUCAUAAAAUAUGGUCAGUACACACUAUAAGGUAUUUUUCUUUUAAACACUUCAGAAUCAAUACCUCUAUAGUAUCUCAAGGUUAUUCAGGUUGUCUCCAUUUCAUGUAUUCUAGAAUGUCAUUAUUGACUUUGCACUUGACAUUCUUCCCUGUGUCUGUUAGACUGGCCUUGGCAGCAAAGAAAGGCCAUAUGGUGCCCAUCCAUAUGGAUAGGCUGGCUGGAUUUUAGAAUCUUAUUCCCUACUGAUGUUCCUGUUGUGUGAACAGAAUAACUUCUAUUUAAGAGUAAAACAUGUGGGAUUCCAGCCUUGCAUAUUGUAUCAGUUAGAAAAUGUGCUCAAUUGUGAGGAGCAGAGACCUGAAAACAGGGCUUAAACACACUAGAUGUGGUACAGGGGCUCUGCAACCUCAUUGUAGACUUUCCAUCCCUCUUCUCUGACAUCUUUGAGUUGUGACUCCUUUCCUCAAGGCUGCCUCAUACAUAUAAAGUGGCUACUAGAACUCCAAACGGCAUUUUCUCAUUCCUAGUAGGAAGAAGGGAAAACACAAGGAACAAAAGGAGCAUGCCAGCUGAGUCAUUGCCUAUUUUUAAGGAGCAUUACCAGAAGACACACCCAACAACUUAUGUUUGCAUCUCAUUGGCUAGGAUUUAGUCUUAUGCACCUCUCAUCUUCUAGGAAUCCUGGGAAAUCUAGUAUAUUUUAGGAAAAGAAGAUUUGGUGUCUACACUGCUAGUACUCCAGUUCAGCUUUCGCUGACCAUGACUCUAUUUGGCUAACUGCACAGAUUUGCUGAUAGCUCACCAGUUAUCAGCUACUCUGCUAAAUGAAUAGAAUGAACCAGACACAGUCUUCACGCUGUGGCAGCUCUCAGUCUAAUGUCAGGGAGGCAAGCAAGUGAACCAGACAGAACAAUACUGUGCGAUGAGCAUCAAACAUGUUGAAAGAACAUGACAGAAGCAUAUGCUCAUUCAAAGGAGGAGCCGGAGCUUCUAGUAAAAGGUAAUAUCUAAACUGAAACUGUAAGCACAUCAUGGAACAAAGAGGGGGAAGGAGGUUCUAGGCAAAGGGAAAAGCAUACUGCCAGCGUCAAGACAUAAGAGGAAAACCAUGUAUUGGGAAACUGCAAACAGUUCAGUGAGGGGGGAGUCUAGAGUGCUCUGUAGGCAGGGACGGGACUUUGGAGUGCUUAGGGUACCAUGUUAACUCAGUCUUUACAGGCAACUUUGGAAUACUAAUAAUGGUGGUACUUCCGUGUGCUUGUCCAUUGCCAAAUGUUCGGACUUAUCCAAGCUCUCAUGAUGGAGCUAUUACUAGGGGCAAAGAAAAAAGAGAAUAUGCUUU